AUGCUUUGGACGGUGGACCGAACGGCCGUCCGAGACAAAGGUGGGCGAUUUGCUAUACAUCUGGUUGAUUGUCUCUCUCUAGCACCACUUCACUUCCUCAAUUCACUUCUUCACCACCGAACUACCUCGGGCGCUAGCUGCACUGCCGGCCAUGGCCACGCCCGCCACGAAGCUCAUCGCCGGCGCGUUCGUCGCCCUCCUUGCCCUCGCACUGGCGGGGGCGGACAAGGUGUGCGGCGACCGCCUCGUCACGCCGCCGCCGCCCCCGAGGUCGCCCUCCCCACCAGCCCGCCCAGCCGCGCCGCCGCGCCCGCUGCUCCCCUCGCCGCCGGCGAGCCACGGCAAGAAGACGGGGAAGAUCCUCGCGGGGAUCUUCGCCGCGCUCGCCGUCGCCGCCGCCAUCUUCUACGCGCUCUGGCUGCACUGCCGCGCCCCUGGCGCCGUCGCCGCCGCGCCACUCGGAGCCCGCGCCGCCGCCGGCGGGCCGCGCGAAUUCGAGGAUCAAGAUCCUGA
rnacentral:rRNA from 1 species